rnacentral:rRNA from 1 species
CUUAACAAACAGACCGUGAACAUGUCAUCCAUCCCGCACGUGGUUCUACCCGUGCAAGGCCCCCGACCUUUCCGAAGGAGAGGGGCCGCAAAAGAACCCACGGCGCCGAAGGCGUCAAGGAAAACUGAUAUUGCCUUGCUCGGGGCUGUGCUCGGCUUGCCGAGCACACCUCGUGCAGCGAUGCUAUCUUAAUCCACACGACUCUCGGCAACGGAUAUCUCGGCUCUCGCAUCGAUGAAGAACGUAGCAAAAUGCGAUACCUGGUGUGAAUUGCAGAAUCCCGCGAACCAUCGAGUUUUUGAACGCAAGUUGCGCCCGAGGCCUUCUGGUUGAGGGCACGCCUGCCUGGGCGUCACGCCAAAAGACACUCCCAACCCAAACCUGGGGAAGGACGUGGUGUUUGGCUCCCCGUGCUGCAAGGCGCGGUGGGCCGAAGUUUGGGCUGCCGGCAUAACUUGUCGGGCACCGCACGUGGUGGGCGACAUCUAGUUGUUCUCGGUGCAGUGUCCUGGCAUGCAGCUGGCUUAUUGGCCUCAAGGACCCAUACACGACCGAAGCGUUUAGGCGCUCGGACCGCGACCCCAGGUCAGACGGGACUACCCGCUGAGUUUAAGCAUAUCAAUAA